rnacentral:misc_RNA from 1 species
UUAAGUUCAGCGGGUAGUCCCGCCUGAUUUGAGGUCAAGUUCGUAGUAGUUGUCUCUCGCGAGACGGUUGGAAGCGAUUCCCAUGUAUUCGCUAAGCCGAGGCGUAGAUGACUAUCACACCAAGGCCGCAAGGGCUUCGCUAAUGUAUUCAAGGAGAGCGGAUCGGCCAGGGACCCGCAAGCUCCCAAAUCCCAGCCCAA